AUUGAACGCUGGCGGAAUGCUUUACACAUGCAAGUCGAACGGCAGCACGGACUUCGGUCUGGUGGCGAGUGGCGAACGGGUGAGUAAUGUAUCGGACCGUGCCCAGUCGUGGGGGAUAACGUAGUGAAAAUUACGCUAAUACCGCAUACGAUCUAUGGAUGAAAGCGGGGGAUCGCAAGACCUCGCGCGAUUGGAGCGGCCGAUAUCAGACUAGGUAGUUGGUGGGGUAAAGGCCCACCAAGCCAACGAUCUGUAGCUGGUCUGAGAGGACGACCAGCCACACUGGAACUGAGACACGGUCCAGACUCCUACGGGAGGCAGCGGUGGGGAAUUUUGGACAAUGGGCGAAAGCCUGAUCCAGCCAUUCCGCGUGCAGGAUGAAGGCCCUCGGGUUGUAAACUGCUUUUGUACAGAACGAAAAGGUUUCUACUAAUACUAGGAGCUCAUGACGGUACUGUAAGAAUAAGCACCGGCUAACUACGUGCCAGCCGCCGCCGUAA
rnacentral:rRNA from 1 species